CGCCACUGGGACCUUUUGUUUCUUCAAUCCAGGGAUGCACCAGACACCUAUCACUACGUGGUCAGUGAGCCACUGGGACGGAACAGCUAUAAGGAGCGCUACCUGUUCGUGUACAGGCCUGACCAGGUGUCUGCGGUGGACAGCUACUACUACGAUGAUGGCUGCGAGCCCUGCGGGAACGACACCUUCAACCGAGAGCCAGCCAUUGUCAGGUUCUUCUCCCGGUUCACAGAGGUCAGGGAGUUUGCCAUUGUUCCCCUGCAUGCGGCCCCGGGGGACGCAGUAGCCGAGAUCGACGCUCUCUAUGACGUCUACCUGGAUGUCCAAGAGAAAUGGGGCUUGGAGGACGUCAUGUUGAUGGGCGACUUCAAUGCGGGCUGCAGCUAUGUGAGACCCUCCCAGUGGUCAUCCAUCCGCCUGUGGACAAGCCCCACCUUCCAGUGGCUGAUCCCCGACAGCGCUGACACCACAGCUACACCCACGCACUGUGCCUAUGACAGGAUCGUGGUUGCAGGGAUGCUGCUC
rnacentral:lncRNA from 1 species